CGGACCUGCCCAGUGACAUAAUGUUAAACGGCCGCGGUACCCUAACCGUGCAAAGGUAGCAUAAUCAUUUGCCUUUUAAUUGGAGGCUUGUAUGAAUGGUUUGACGAAAGCCAAGCUGUCUCUUUAAAAAUAUUUAAAAAUUAACGUUUAGGUGAAGAGGCCUGAAUUUGAUUAAGGGACAAGAAGACCCUAUUGAGCUUAAGUGAUUGUAUAAAUAAGUUUGUUUUGAUGAUUUUAAAUUUAUUUAAUGAGUUUUUUAUUUAAUCUUUAGUUGGGGCGACUGAGGAACAGAUAAAGCUUCCUCGGACUGUUGUUUAAAGUAAUUAGUAAUUGGUUUGGCUGAUGAGUUAAGUUGAUCCAGUAUAUUAUUGAUCAAGAGAAAAAGUUACCAUAGGGAUAACAGCGUAAUCUUUCUGGAGAGAUCUUAUCGAAAGGAAGGUUUGCGACCUCGAUGUUGGACUAAGAUACCCUGAGGGUGCAGAAGCUCUCGAUGGUUGGUCUGUUCGACCAUUAAAAUCUU
rnacentral:rRNA from 1 species